CAGUCGAGCGGAGAUUUGAAAGCUUGCUUUUCAAAUCUUAGCGGCGGACGGGUGAGUAACACGUGGGCAACCUGCCCUUGAGACGGGGAUAACUCCGGGAAACCGGAGCUAAUACCGGAUAACACAUAUCUUCGCAUGAGGAUAUGUUAGAAGGUGGCUUUUAGCUACCACUCAAGGAUGGGCCCGCGGCGCAUUAGCUAGUUGGUGAGGUAACGGCUCACCAAGGCGACGAUGCGUAGCCGACCUGAGAGGGUGAUCGGCCACACUGGGACUGAGACACGGCCCAGACUCCUACGGGAGGCAGCAGUAGGGAAUCUUCCGCAAUGGACGAAAGUCUGACGGAGCAACGCCGCGUGAGUGAUGAAGGUUUUCGGAUCGUAAAGCUCUGUUGUUAGGGAAGAACAAGUACCUGUUAAAUAAGCAGGUACCUUGACGGUACCUAACCAGAAAGCCACGGCUAACUACGUGCCAGCAGCCGCGGUAAUACGUAGGUGGCAAGCGUUGUCCGGAAUUAUUGGGCGUAAAGCGCGCGCAGGCGGUUCCUUAAGUCUGAUGUGAAAGCCCACGGCUCAACCGUGGAGGGUCAUUGGAAACUGGGGAACUUGAGUGCAGAAGAGGAGAGCGGAAUUCCACGUGUAGCGGUGAAAUGCGUAGAGAUGUGGAGGAACACCAGUGGCGAAGGCGGCUCUCUGGUCUGUAACUGACGCUGAGGCGCGAAAGCGUGGGGAGCGAACAGGAUUAGAUACC
rnacentral:rRNA from 1 species